UCCGACGUCAUUUGACCUAAGCUCCACCAUCCCCAUCCUCCUCUUCGCAGCCCAACUCAUCUUCCUCAUCCUUUAGUAUUCCUCCAUAGAUGAUUCUAUACCUUCUCCACCUUCUACACAGGUGCAGAACUCUUACAGCUUAUUCUUCAUCUUCGAGCUCAGAAUAAUCGUCAACUACUCUCAGCGCUGGGCGCUGGCACGCACUAUUUGGCCUCUCGCUACAAACCCAGCACCUCACCACAUCUCCACCAUCAUCUCCCCAAUUGACUCUAGCCCGCUCCUCUUCACAAAUGAUCGCUACACGCUCCUCUUCUUGCCCGCCGGUCUCCUCUCCAACUGACCAGGAUAGCAAACCCAACGACCCGUGACUGGGUUCGAUCGGAAAUCAGUCCUCCAGCCACCUUUCCGUUGUGGACCAUCGGCGAUAGCUUCCUCUCCUCAGUGCUAACAACCCUGUGGCCUUAGAUUGUCCAUGCAUUGAACGAAGGAGGAGAAUCAACGACCAGAAGCUUUGAGUUUUCUCCGGCGAGUUCUGCAAAUUGCCGCAACUCCGGUCACCGAUAGAGCUGUAUGUGUCUUAGAAACAGGGUUUGAGCCUUAAUUGCGUUUAGUUUCAGAAAUUAGAAGGUGGGAUGCAACUCUGGGACUAAUCGAGUUAAAGCAAGGCUCUGUCGUUCGAGCACAUCAGUUCAAUUUCCUACUCAUUCCCAAACUACAUUUGGAAUCAAGCUUGAAAACGGUGACUUGUUGUUGCUACGACGAAGGUAUAUUUAUAGUUGUAUUAUCUGGAAAUUUGUGGAAAUUGAAUGGAUUGUGGUUGAUUAAGUUGAAAUCGAGUUCUCCCUGGUUAUUGAUUUUAUCAGAUUGCGUAACUUAGUGGUUAUUUGAAUUAGGAAUAAAGUUUUGAUGAAUUGAUGAAUC